GCCCGGAUGGCGGAACAGGCAGACGCUGGGGACUUAAAAUCCCCUGGGGUAAUCCCCGUGAGGGUUCGAUUCCCUCUCCGGGCACCA
rnacentral:tRNA from 1 species